AAACCAACAGGGAUUGCCUUAGUAACGGCGAGUGAAGCGGCAAAAAGCUCAAAUUUGAAAUCGGCGCCUUUUAGGUGUUCGAGUUGUAAUUUGGAGAAGCAACUUUUUGUAUCAGCUCUGGCGGAAGUCUCUUGGAACAGUGCGCCAUAGAGGGUGAGAGCCCCGUUCCACUGGAGGACUGGUACAUUGCAAAGUGCUUUCAAAGAGUCGAGUUGUUUGGGAAUGCAGCUCUAAGUGGGUGGUAAAUUCCAUCUAAAGCUAAAUAUUGGCGAGAGACCGAUAGCGAACAAGUACAGUGAUGGAAAGAUGAAAAGCACUUUGAAAAGAGAGUGAAAAAGUACGUGAAAUUGCUGAAAGGGAAGGGCUUGAAAUCAGACUUGGCUUGUUGCCAUCAUCCAUCUCUUGGGGUGUGUACUGGUAGCUUGCUGGGCCAGCAUGGGUUUGAGGAGUCAUAAUGUUCAAAGAUGUGGCUUGAUGCUUCGGUAUUCG
rnacentral:rRNA from 1 species